CCAGACAGAGACGAAACUCAUGCAUGUUCGGCGGCACUUUCGGCGGCCGAAACUGCCAGACAGAGACGAAAGUCUCCCUUUCGGGGGCAAGCUUCGGCAGCCGAAAGGCUGCCUCCCCAGCCAUGUUCGGCGGCCGAAAGUCCUUCGGCUGCCGAACCUGGUUUCUGCCAAAGGGCAGAAACUUGGCUCCCUAUGCACAUUUCGCCUCCAAACCUUUCCAACAUGCAUCAAACCUAUUCUACAACACACAAACAC
rnacentral:lncRNA from 1 species